UGUCAUAGGAAAUAAAGGCAGAGACUCAAUAAAGUCCUAGGCUCUUAAAACAUUUUCUUUUCUUCCCUCAGAGCAGCAAAAUUGAGGGGAGGAGUGUGGCUACAGUGAAUGGGUGUCACUGAGAGUCAUGAAUAGGGAGCACUUUGGUUGGAGAUUCAGAGCUCUGGAGUGUGACUGCGGAGGGAAGCAUGCAUGAAGAUCACUUUGGCUUUUGAAAUGUUAAGUUCCACCCAGUUGCUUUCAGAAUGUAGCUGUGGAUAUUUGAUAUCAUCAUAUUUCUAGCCUGUAAUAUCCCUUAAGCUAUGAAUCCCAGUUUACCAGUAUUUGAAUACAAACCAUUCUUUACCAGUUGCUGAAAUGAGUGGCUAAUUAAUUUCUUUCCUUUAACUUUCAAAUUGCUUAAGCCUUGGAAUUAUUACCAAUUGAAUUUAUUUUCCAGGAAGAACUGGUCAAGAAGAGUCAGAUAGCUGGCUCAAUGGGUUAAAAGUUCUUCCCACACAAUCCUGAAGACUUGAGUUGAGUACACCGGAUCCACAAAAAUACAGUAGUCGUGUUUCACAACUGUAACCCCAAAACUUCUAUUGGGCAGUAGAAGGUAGGGACAGGAAAAUCACCCUGAUGCUCACACUCCAGCCAAGGGGUAGAAACAAGAUGGAUCUUGCCUCAACAGUGAAAAGGGAAGUUUACUGCUCACAAUGAAAGGGUCACCAUCCAUUGCACAGGGAAAGAGCCGGAAACAGAAGAUGCACACCUCAUUUUUGGGGAAGCCGAGGACUGAAGGCAUCUGCUGGGUUCACUUUUUAGAGUCUCAGAACCAUGGAAUGGUGCUGUCCUCAGGCUGGGUGGCUCUUCUUACCUCAGUGAAUCUAAUCUAGACAGUCCCUCACAGAAAUGCCUGGAGAUGUGUCUCCAUGGUGACCCUGAGUUCCAUCAAAAUGAAAAUCUGGAGGAAACAUCGAAGGAGCUGUGUCCCCAGUCCUGCAAUGACAGUUUAACCUCACUUUGUUAACUAGCUAUUUACGUGCUAUGAAGGGACCUAACUUUGUAGUCUCAUUUUUUCCCAUCUGUAAAGUACUUUGCAUUUCUAUGUUAUUUUGGGGAACUUAGUAAUAAGGUAAAAAUAAAUCAUAGAGCAUUUGACUCUAUAACAGGUCAGGCAUUAUUGUUUGUAUUCUGAGAGGGUGUCUCAUGUGGUCCAGGUUGGCCUCCAAUGACUGGUCCUUCUAUUGCAAUUCCUGAAUGGAGGGGUAACAGAUGUUUACCACUAUGUCCUUGCUUGGGUCCCAUAUUGUUGAAAGAGCUUUGCAAGCUUAUCAACAUGGGGAUGAAACUGUUAAUAUCAGCCAGUGCUUAUGCCAUGCAGGUUAAAACAAUAAACGACUUAAAAGCCUACUUGACCAGUGACAAUAGAAUAAUUUUAGAGAGACUAAAGGGUCAGAACUUGCCAUAGAGGGAAGCAAAGGAGGCUGAAGAAGGAAUAUAAUAUACAAAAACACUGAAAAAUCGCCUCUAAUUGCAUAUGAUAAGAACAACUUCAGAGAACUCCUUUGUGGGACUGGAUGUAUUGUGGCCAAAAAUGAAACUGCACAGAGAAUAUUUUUAAGUGGAAUAAUAGUCCAUUUAUUAACUCUAUAAUCCAUGGCUAGGGAUAAAUGAAUCUGUUACCCUGUUUCCCCCUCUCUGAUUCUGCAGUUUUUCCUUAGCUUACCUACCGUUUACAUUUUUGCUUUGAGACAGUGCUUAUGAAAUUACCCAGGGAUAUGUACUCUUGGUUAGCUUGAACAUGGAGUUCUACUGCCUCUGCCUCCUGAGUAUCCCUGAUUAUCAUCGGCCACCCUAGCCUCAGUAUGUCUCUCUCUGUUACUGUAUCCUAAUCAGAUACUGACUCAAAUAGUUAUUUUCUAUUUAAUGGAAAUGUACUUUCUAUUCAAUCAAGAAGACAAUUACUAUUUAUUUUAAAACCCUGUUUAUUCAUCUAUUUGUGUGUGUACCUGUGUGUGUGCUUGUGUGUGUAUGCAUGCGAACCUGUGUGUGUAUACAUUUGUGUAUAUAUGUGUUUCUGUACCUAUAUGUGUGUGUGUGUGUGUAUGCAUGGGUGCACAGAUGUUAUGACAUUCUUGUGUCACAUGUAGAGGGCAGAGGACCCCACAUAGUGGAGUCUGUCUUCACUGAGUCCCAGGUUUCAAACUCAGGCUCUUAGGAUGAAAGCAAGCAACCAUCUUGCCGACCCAAAGUAGAUGAUUUUUGACAGAUGUAACCAUUAUCUGACAGCUAGUAGUUUACGUUAUUAAAAACUACCUGAG
rnacentral:lncRNA from 1 species